CGGGGGGGGGGGCAAGCGUUGUUCGGAAUUACUGGGCGUAAAGGGCGCGUAGGCGGCCCAGCAAGUCCUUCGUGAAAUCCCACAGCUCAACUGUGGAACUGCGGAGGAUACUGCCCGGGCUUGAGUCCGGGAGAGGGGAGUGGAAUUCCCAGUGUAGCGGUGAAAUGCGUAGAUAUUGGGAGGAACACCGGUGGCGAAGGCGGCUCCCUGGACCGGUACUGACGCUGAGGCGCGAAAGCUAGGGGAGCAAACGGGAUUAGAUACCCCGGUAGUCCUAGCUGUAAACGUUGAGCACUUGGUGUGGCGGGUAUCGACCCCUGCUGUGCCGAAGCUAACGCAUUAAGUGCUCCGCCUGGGGAGUACGGUCGCAAAGGCUG
rnacentral:rRNA from 1 species